rnacentral:rRNA from 1 species
GACGAACGCUGGCGGCGUGCUUAACACAUGCCAGUCGAACGGAAAGGCCCUGCUUUUGUGGGGUGCUCGAGUGGCGAACGGGUGAGUAACCCGUGAGUAACCUGCCCUUGACUUUGGGAUAACUUCAGGAAACUGGGGCUAAUACCGGAUAGGAGCUCCUGCUGCAUGGUGGGGGUUGGAAAGUUUCGGCGGUUGGGGAUGGACUCGCGGCUUAUCAGCUUGUUGGUGGGGUAGUGGCUUACCAAGGCUUCGACGGGUAGCCGGCCUGAGAGGGUGGCCGGCCACAUUGGGACUGAGAUGCGGCCCAGACUCCUACGGGAGGCAGCAGUGGGGAAUAUUGCACAAUGGGCGGAAGCCUGAUGCAGCAACGCCGCGUGCGGGAUGACGGCCUUCGGGUUGUAAACCGCUGUCGCCUGUGACGAAGCGUGAGUGACGGUAAUGGGUAAAGAAGCACCGGCUAACUACGUG